UCCUGGAGGCUGUGUCGACAGGCCUGGCCUAAAAUAAAGCCUCUGCUGCCCAAAUUUUAAUUUUGUGCUUCCUUGGAUUUUAUUCCAGGGUACAAGCUUUCACAUUUGGGGACUCAUCUGGGGUGGAAGCAAGACCCCCGACUCAAUUCUGAACACCUAAAAGAAUGGCCAUUAGGGACCCAGCAGGUUUGGCCCCCUCCGGGUCUUUCAACAUGGAGACAGCACAAGCUGCUUGCUGAUCCUGCACAUCCUCUUCAUGGCCAAAGAGAGACUGCACUUUUGCACUUGGGCAAAAAGAAGUUUGAGAACAGAGCGGAUCUAUAUCCAAUGAUGAGCAGAGAACUGAACACCUGUUCCCUUCCUCCCAACCUAACUGGGACCCCAAUACAGGUGAAGGUAAGUGGGAUCUCGAUGAUUAUCACCUGAGGCGUCUAGACGUGCUCCAUGCUGCCACCAAGAAGCCUAUCAAUUUAUCUCAAGUCACUGAGGUAAGACAAUUAGCCGAUGAAUCUCCUGUUAUGUUUUUAGUGUGCCUUUUAGAGGUAUAUAGAUUACAUACACCAAUUAAUCCAAUGGCACCCAAAAACACACAAACAAUUAAUAUUGCUUUCAUGUCACAGUUAGCCCUUGAUGUUAGGAAAAAGUUACUAAAGCUUGAGAGAUUUGAAGGGGUGCCCCUCCACCAGUAGAGAUAGCACAAAAGGUCUUUGAAAACAGAGAGAUCUUGCAGGAAGCCACAAAUCAAAAAAUGGCCAAGGUGUUAGAAUUGCUGUGUGAAAAAGAAACUAAGAGAUCAGCCAAUGCUAACAAGAUGGAGGCCCAAGGUCAGCGACCUCCUCUAGAUAUAGAACAAUGUGCAUACUGCAAAGAGAUGGGACAUUGGUGUAAAGAUUGCCCAAUGCUAAAGGUGAAGUUAGAGAAAGAAGCAAAGGCCCUGUUGUCUCAAUGAAGAGGUCAGGGCUCCUUGCCACCCCUUGAGCCCCGUAUAACUCUUCAAGUGGGGGUGCAACUGGUGGACUUCCUGGUUGAUACAGGAGCAACCUAUUCUGUGCUAACCCAAUCCUUAGGAAAGCUAACCAAGGACUCGGUUAAUGUGAUAGGAGCUUCAGGGGGAUGAAAAGUACCCAAAAGUGACAGCUAGUUUGGUUCGACCUGGACAUAAGCUGGUCCAACAUGAUUUUCUAUGGGUACGAGAGUGCCCAGACCCUCUCCUAGGAUGAGACCUCCUCCUUAAAUUGCAAGUGCAAAUUGAUUUCUUUACAAAGGAGCCAGGGCUAAGACAGGGGACAGACUCAACCCCAGACCCUGAAGGCAUCAGAAUACUAGCUCUUGUCCCAGAAGGGGAAAAUUACCACCCACUGAGAAACUUGUCCAGUAUGCCUUAGUAGUCAGCCACAGAUUUGGAGCUAGAGCUAUUAGACAAAUGGAAACAAGAAAUUCCAGAGGUGUGGGCUGAAACCAACCCCCCAGGGUUGGCAGUCUAUCAAGUGCCCCUUGUGGUGGAGCUUCUACCCCAAGCGCAUCCCAUUUGUUUGUGUCAUUAUCCAACAAGCCUACAAGCCCAACAGGGAAUGAAAGUUCACAUUCAGAGACUAAGGGGCAAUGGUAUCCUUAUUCUGUGUGUCUCCCCAUGGAAAACGCCUCUAAUUCCAGUCCAGAAAACAGGGGCGACUGACUACCACCCUGUACAAGAUCUCCGAGUAGUUAAUAGAUGGUCAUUGACUCUGCACCCCAUGUUACCUAACCCUUAUACUUUACUCAGCCUCCUCAACCCAGAUAACACCUGGUACUCCAUUUUGGACCUCAAGGAUGCCUUUUUCACUCUGCCUCUCGCCCCGACACUCCAGCCUGUGUUGGCCUCGAUCCACCAGCUGUUUAGACAAAAACACCCGGACCCACCUUCAGAGAUGCCACUCAAAGCACCAAUCAAGCCAGGAACCUCUGUCCUAGUGUGACAUCACCAUCGAGACUCCCUCAAACCCUGUUGGGAAGGACCCUUCACCGUCAUGCUCAGUACCCCCACUGCCAUCAAGGUAGCAGGAAAAUCUGCAUGGAUUCAGCACACUCACGUAAAGCCACUGGAAACAUUGGACAAUGAGGGAAAUACUCAGUGGACUAUACAACAGACUGGUGACCCCUUGAAGUUAAAAUUGACUAAACAUAGUUAGAUUAUACCAGUCAUAAACUUUAGCUUGCUUGCUUUUGCUCCUUCUGUGUCACUGCUGGGAUUUUUAAUAACAUUGAUGCUGGCCUUGCACAGUGGCUUUGGUCCCCCUGUAAGCAAAGAACAAUUGUUGAGAUCUUUGUAUGGGAACCCCUGUGAUUGUGAAGGAGGCUACACUAAAGUUAAAGACACCAGCUGGGCUGAAGUAUACAUACAAUAGAAAAAAGAUCAUGGUCCUUCCCACAUAAAUGAUAAAUUAACUGGCCAAGGAUUGGCCUCAGUCACAACAUCAGAGGGGAAUGUUGUAACCUAGUUCUAAACAAUUCAUCUACUUUCUGUUCUGUAUGUGUUGUUUCAAUAGAGAUUAAAAUUCCAUCUCCAGUAAAGAUUUAAAUUUCAGCUCCUUGUAAAGCCUCCUCACCUCCCCAUUCUUUUUAAGUCUCCAUUUCCCAUAAAAGCUUUGUUUCAGUUUCUUGUAAUACCGUCACACCCUUCAAUACAAUGUGCUGUCCUUAAGAAACGUUUAACUACAAGGAAGUUAUCAAACUGGGUCAAAGUUCACAAUAUUCCUGUGGUUUUCGGCUUUAAAACCCAACUCUUUUAGCAGUAAGGUGAGCAGUCUCCAUAUUGGCUCCUGGAGGCUGUGUCACCAGGCCUGGCCUAAAAUAAAGCCUUUGCUCCCCAAAUUUUAAUUUCUUGCU